GUGCUCUUCACCAAUUAUGGUUCACAUGAGGCCAUAAGCUGCAAAAGCAAAACUUGUAUUAAGAUAUUCAUUUUUCUAUACAGUAAGUUUUUACAAACAGAAAUCUUAAAUAUAAGGUGUUUCAAAAAGAGAUUUAUAUUUAUCUCUCUAACGAUAUUAGCAAAGCUCAAACUCGAAAUCUUCAUAUUCUAAGAUUAUACUCUAAUGAUUAUACAUGUUUAGAUUGCCGAUACCUAUGACAACAAAAUAAUAACAACGUCAAAGUAGUAAACAUUUGUUUUUACGAUAAAAGUCUAAGUCUACUCUACGCUUGUUUAAUUUGAUGCCACGAUUUGUGGCUUCUGCGCUUUUAUGAGAGAAUGUCAUUGAAAUGCAAAUAUUCAUGCUUCAAAUCAAAACCAAACAUGCUAAUAAUUUUGUCAAAACCAUACCUAUCAAACAAAAAACAAAUAUACUUUUUGGUGAUCCAUCAUAUAUCUACUAA
rnacentral:lncRNA from 1 species